rnacentral:rRNA from 1 species
UACGUAGGGUGCAGGCGUUAAUCGGAAUUACUGGGCGUAAAGCGUGCACAGGCGGCUUUGCAAGACAGAUGUGAAAAUCCCCGGGCGUCAACCUACGGGAACGUAGCAUUUGUUGACUGCAAGGCUGGAGUGCGGCAGAGGGGGAGUGAAUUCCGCGUGUAGCAGUGAAAUGCGUAGAUAUGCGGAGGAACACCGAUGGCGAAGGCAAUCCCC